AUGGAACAGCAGCUCUUUCCACCAGGAAAAAAAUCUGGAUCCUCUGGAUUCAGGAGGUGGGACCGGCCAUUGCAGCGCAGGGCUGAAAAAAGG